rnacentral:rRNA from 1 species
UACGUAGGGUGCAAGCGUUGUCCGGAAUUAUUGGGCGUAAAGAGCUCGUAGGCGGUCUGUCGCGUCGGCUGUGAAAACCCGGAGCUCAACUCCGGGCCUGCAGUCGAUACGGGCAAACUGGAGUGUUGCAGGGGAGACUGGAAUUCCUGGUGUAGCGGUGAAAUGCGCAGAUAUCAAGGAGGAACACCGGUGGCGAAGGCGGGU